rnacentral:rRNA from 1 species
UACGAAGGGGGCUAGCGUUGCUCGGAAUCACUGGGCGUAAAGCGCACGUAGGCGGAUUGUUAAGUCAGGGGUGAAAUCCUGGAGCUCAACUCCAGAACUGCCUUUGAUACUGGCGAUCUUGAGUCCGGGAGAGGUGAGUGGAACUGCGAGUGUAGAGGUGAAAUUCGUAGAUAUUCGCAAGAACACCAGUGGCGAAGGCGGCUCACUGGCCCGGUACUGACGCUGAGGAGCGAAAAGCUAGGGGAGCAAACAGG